UACGUAGGGGGCAAGCGUUGUCCGGAUUUAUUGGGCGUAAAGAGCGUGUAGGCGGUUUGGUAGGUCCGCUGUGAAAACUCGAGGCUCAACCUCGAGACGCCGGUGGAAACCAUCAGACUAGAGUCCGGAAGAGGAGAGUGGAAUUCCUGGUGUAGCGGUGAAAUGCGCAGAUAUCAGGAAGAACACCCGUGGCGAAGGCGGCCCACUGGGCCGGUGCUGACGCUGAGGCGCGAAGGCGUGGGGAGCGAACGGG
rnacentral:rRNA from 1 species